CAGCAAACUGAUAGGAUCAGGGAGCAUCAGAACCUCUGUUCCAGCUGUGAAGGCAACUCAUCAGACAAAACCUAAAACAAAAUAAGGAAGAAAAAUGAAGAUUUUUUGGAUACUGCUACUUGUUGUUGGCAUCCAGAUGAGGUCCACGGAUGCUCAAACAACUGGAACUUCUCCUACAACGACCACAGCUGCUCCAACCACAGCUGCU